GUGAGAAAGUCUCCCUCAAAAAUCCCUUGGUAAUCAUCGAGGGGUCAAAAACUUUCAGCAAAAAAAUUUUUCUUGGCAAAACUGAAGGCCAUUGGCCAAGAACUGAUCAUUUUCUAAUGGAUUCACCAACCAAAAUGCACUUGAAAAUCUCUCGGUAACUGCCAAGGGAUUCAUCAAGAAAAUAUAUCUCGUUAAAAAUUGGCUGGC
rnacentral:lncRNA from 1 species